GUGGCGGACGGGUGAGUAAUGUCUGGGAAACUGCCUGAUGGAGGGGGAUAACUACUGGAAACGGUAGCUAAUACCGCAUAACGUCGCAAGACCAAAGAGGGGGACCUUCGGGCCUCUUGCCAUCGGAUGUGCCCAGAUGGGAUUAGCUUGUUGGUGGGGUAACGGCUCACCUAGGCGACGAUCCCUAGCUGGUCUGAGAGGAUGACCAGCCACACUGGAACUGAGACACGGUCCAGACUCCUACGGGAGGCAGCAGUGGGGAAUAUUGCACAAUGGGCGCAAGCCUGAUGCAGCCAUGCCGCGUGUAUGAAGAAGGCCUUCGGGUUGUAAAGUACUUUCAGCGGGGAGGAAGGGAGUAAAGUUAAUACCUUUGCUCAUUGACGUUACCCGCAGAAGAAGCACCGGCUAACUCCGUGCCAGCAGCCGCGGUAAUAC
rnacentral:rRNA from 1 species